AUGGCAGAAUCAGAAGGGAAAUUAGUGGAAAAUGGAUCCAACAGGAGGAAAGUGGAGGAGAGACGGGCCUCAUGCCUGAGCGUCCACAGAGACGUUAAUCCAGAAACCGAGCCUCCUCCUCCACGGCCCAGAUCCCACGAUGGUCCCAUCACUGUAGGAGCCCCUGAAGACCUGCAGCCGCUCACACAGGCACUGCUUGGGUUUGAAACCAAGAUAACAAGCAGUCACACGGUCAGAACACGCGUCCAGGAAAGCUCUGGACCGACAUCCAGAACCCCUCCUCCUCCUCCUUCUCCUUCCUCCUCCUCCUCCUCCUCCUUCCUCCUCUUCCUCCUCCUCCUCCCUCCUCCUGCUCCUCCUCCUGCUCCUCCUUCUCCUUCCUCCUCCUCCUCCUCCUCUCCACAGACAGACAACAGGGCUCUGCUCUGGGCCUCCUCCUCCUCCUCCUCCUCCUGCUCCUCCUCCUGCUCCUCCUUCUCCUUCCUCCUCCUCCUCCUCCCUCCUCCUGCUCCUCCUCCUGCUCCUCCUUCUCCUUCCUCCUCCUCCUCCUCCUCCUCCUCCUCCUCCUCUCCACAGACAGACCACAGGGCUCUGCUCUGGGCCUCCUCCUCCUCCUCCUCCUCCUUCCUCCUCCUGCUCCUCCUCCUGCUCCUCCUUCUCCUUCCUCCUCCUCCUCCUCCUCCCUCCUCCUGCUCCCUCCUUCUCCUUCCUCCUUCUCUUCCUCCUCCUCCUCCUCCUCCUCCUCUCCACAGACAGACCACAGGGCUCUGCUCUGGGCCUCCUCCUCCUCCUCCUCCUCCUCCUCCUCUCCACAGACAGACCACAGGGCUCUGUUCUGGGCCUCCUCCUCCUCCUCCUCCUCCCUCCUCCUGCUCCUCCUUCUCCUUCCUCCUUCUCUUCCUCCUCCUCCUCCUCCUCCUCCUCUCCACAGACAGACCACAGGGCUCUGCUCUGGGCCUCCUCCUCCUCCUCCUCCUCCUUCCUCCUCCUCCUCCUCCUCCUCUCCACAGACAGACCACAGGGCUCUGCUCUGGGCCUCCUCCUCCUCCUCCUUCCUCCUCCUCCUCCUCCUCCUCUCCACAGACAGACCACAGGGCUGUGCUCUGGGCCUCCUCCUCCUCCUCCUCCUCCUUCCUCCUCCUCCUCCUCCUCCUCUCCACAGACAGACCACAGGGCUCUGCUCUGGGCCUCCUCCUCCUCCUCCUGCUCCUCCUCCUGCUCCUGCUCCUCCUUCUCCUUCCUCCUCCUCCUCCUCCUCCUCCUCCCUCCUCCUGCUCCUCCUUCUCCUUCCUCCUUCUCCUCCUCCUCCUCCUCCUCCUCCUCCUCUCCUCCUCCUCCUCCUCCUCCUCCUCCUGCCUCCUCCUCCUCUCCUCUCCUCCUCCUCCUCCUCCUCCUCCUCCUCCUCCUCUCCACAGACAGACCACAGGGCUCUGCUCUGGGCCUCCUCCUCCUCCUCCUUCCUCCUCCUCCUCCUCCUCCUCUCCACAGACAGACCACAGGGCUCUGCUCUGGGCCUCCUCCCUCCUUUUCUUUGCAUCUUGA
rnacentral:lncRNA from 1 species